GAUUUCUGGCUUGGCGCGCGCGGUCCGCUGCGGUUUCGUGGCGUGUACCGUUGUGCGCCUGCCAUCUUGUGAGGCAUCGGUGCUACUCUUCACUGGGUGGUGUCGUUAUCUCACUCUUUUACUUUGAAAAAAUUAGAGUGUUCAAAGCAGGCUUGCGCUAUGAAUACAUUAGCAUGGAAUAAUAAUUUAGGACUUCUGUCUUAAUUUGUUGGUUUCUAGGAUGGAAGUAAUGAUUGAUAGGGAUAGUUGGGGGUGCUAGUAUUCAGAGGCCAGAGGUGAAAUUCUUGGAUUCUCUGAAGACUAACUUAUGCGAAAGCAUU
rnacentral:rRNA from 1 species